rnacentral:rRNA from 1 species
AUUGAACGCUGGCGGCAGGCCUAACACAUGCAAGUCGAGCGAGCGGCGGACGGGUGAGUAAUGUCUGGGAAACUGCCUGAUGGAGGGGGAUAACUACUGGACACGGUAGCUAAUACCGCAUACCAUCAGAUGUGCCAAGAUGGGAUUAGCUAGUAGGUUGGGUAACGGCUCACCUAGGCGACGAUCCCUAGCUGGUCUGAUAGGAUGACACGCCACACUGGAACUGAGACACGGUCCAGACUCCUACGGUAGGAAGCAGUGGGGAAUAGUGCACAAUUGGCGCAAGCCUGAUGCAGCCAUGCCGCGUGUGUGAAGAAGGCCUUCGGGUUGUAAAGCACUUUCAGCGGGGAGGCGUUACCCGCAGAAGAAGCACCGGCGAACUCCGUGCCAGCAGCCGCGGUAAUAC